rnacentral:rRNA from 1 species
UACAGAGGUGGCAAGCGUUGUUCGGAAUUACUGGGCGUAAAGGGCGCGUAGGCGGUCUUGUAAGUCCCGUGUGAAAUCCCUCGGCUUAACUGAGGAACUGCACGGGAUACUGCAUGACUUGAGAUCGGGAGAGGGAAGCGGAAUUCCGGGUGUAGCGGUGAAAUGCGUAGAUAUCCGGAGGAACACCAGUGGCGAAGGCGGCUUCCUGGACCGACACUGACGCUGAGGCGCGAAAGCUAGGGGAGCAAACGGG